rnacentral:rRNA from 1 species
AAUCUUUCGCAAUGCGCGAAAGCGUGACGCAGCAACGCCGCGUGAGGGAAGAAGGCCUUCGGGUUGUAAACCUCGUUCAGUUGGGACGAAGCCACGACGGCUAAUACCCGCCUGUGGUGCCGUUACCUUCAGAAGACGCCCCGGCUAACUCCGUGCCACCAGCCGCGGUAAUACGUAGGGGGCAAGCGUUGUCCGGAAUCAUUGGGCGUAAAGCGCGUGUAGGCGGCUUGGUAAGUCCGCUCUGAAAGCCCGGGGCUCAACCCCGGGAGGCGGGUGGAUACUGCCAGGCUAGAGUCCGGAAGAGGCGAGUGGAAUUCCCGGUGUAGCGGUGAAAUGCGCAGAUAUCGGGAGGAACACCAAUGGCGAAGGCAGCUCGCUGGGACGUGACUGACGCUGAGACGCGAAAGCGUGGGGAGCAAACAGG